rnacentral:rRNA from 1 species
AAGCGCUUGCAAUCAGACUUGCACUUGGUGUUCAUCAGGGUCUCGUACCCUGUGUACUUCAUCAAGUUCAGGCCAGCAUCAGUUUGAGUGGUUAGAUAAAGGCUUAGAGAAUGUGGCCCUCUUCGGGGAGUGUUAUAGCCCGCUGCGUAAUACCCUGUGGCGGACUGAGGUUCGCGCAUUCGCAAGGAUGCUGGCGUAAUGGU